GCCCAAGUGGCGGAAUUGGCAGACGCGCUAGGUUCAGGACCUAGUGGGAUUAAUUUCCCGUGGAGGUUCGAGUCCUCUCUUGGGCACCU
rnacentral:tRNA from 1 species